AGUGAACGCUGGCGGUAGGCCUAACACAUGCAAGUCGAACGGCAGCACAGUAAGAGCUUGCUCUUACGGGUGGCGAGUGGCGGACGGGUGAGGAAUACAUCGGAAUCUACUUUUUCGUGGGGGAUAACGUAGGGAAACUUACGCUAAUACCGCAUACGACCUACGGGUGAAAGCAGGGGAUCUUCGGACCUUGCGCGAUUGAAUGAGCCGAUGUCGGAUUAGCUAGUUGGCGGGGUAAAGGCCCACCAAGGCGACGAUCCGUAGCUGGUCUGAGAGGAUGAUCAGCCACACUGGAACUGAGACACGGUCCAGACUCCUACGGGAGGCAGCAGUGGGGACUAUUGGACAAUGGGCGCAAGCCUGAUCCAGCCAUACCGCGUGGGUGAAGAAGGCCUUCGGGUUGUAAAGCCCUUUUGUUGGGAAAGAAAAGCAGCAGGUUAAUACCCCGCUGUUCUGACGGUACCCAAAGAAUAAGCACCGGCUAACUUCGU
rnacentral:rRNA from 1 species